CCAGAAUGGAAAUAAUUAGAGGCAUGACGUGAAGUCAAUGGGACUCUUUGGAGAAAGCAAGGGACUCACUCUGUAUAAAGCAGUUGCAAGAGGGGAUGUAGGAUGUGAUCUGUGUCUGGAUGGGGCAAAGGGCAGAAGCCACCGCUUGCCACGCAUGGGGAAGGAACCAUUGCAGUCAUGUGCAGGGCACAGCAUCCUAAACCAGCACCUCCUCAGCUGAUGUCGGGGAGCAGCACUGCCCGGUCACACUCAAAUGCAGCCUGGUGUUUAUGUUUACGUGGCUCCAUGUCCUUGUGGUGUCCUUGUGGGAAGAGACUUCAUUAUCAUAAAGAAUAUGUUUUUAUUCCACUACAUAAGUACUACUUAUUAUAGUCUCAUAUAUUUUCUGACACAACCAAGGGGUCUUUAUUGUUGUACAUCAAGGUCACUGACAAGUAAUAUAUUCAAUCUAUUAAGUUAUUAGGAGAUAAAUAAUUUGGAUGCAAGCUGAACUCUGAACUUUUACCUUUUCCCCUGACAGACGGGUAGUUUCUUGGCGUUCAUACUAAUCUCGCCUGUGCUUGAAUAGUAAUUCCAUUAGGGUUAUGGCUGCAGCUGUACAUAUGCAAUGACCUCAAAUACAAUUUCUUUAUGGAGAUGGGCAAUAGGAAUAUUAAAAUUUUAAGCCAAAGAGGAUGUAAUUUAACUUUACAUUAUUUAUUGUGGACACAAAUCCUUUAUAAUAUUAAAGGAUAAAGAAUUAAUAAAAGAAAGAUCCCAUAAACAAUCCAUAAAGUCAAAUGUAGUUCCUGAUUUAAUGCAAUUGCUUUUUAGUGUCUUCUAGUCACAGACUCGCACCUCAUUAAAAAAAAAAAAAGUCGGGAAUCAAGAACAUCCUGGCAGACUUGAGGGUCCCUGGGUGUUUUAGGAAGCUCCACUGCACCUGCUAAGCAGGGUGUGGCUCUCUGCAGGCCCUCAGAGCUGGCCCACACGAGGUAGGUCCUGGCACUGCCAGGAGCCCUUGGGCUAGGCAGUGCCCCAGGCUGGAUCACCAGCAUUUGGGAGCUCUGAUUUUUCCCCACCCUAAUGCUCUACCAAAAAGUUUUCAUUCCUGAUACGACUUAGCUGCAGAAACUGCGUGCCUUGGAGGUUUUAAUAGGUGGACAUCAUGGGCUGACUUUGGAGCAUCAUCCCCAAGUGCCAUGGCAGGGAGGUGGCUAUGGCCUGGACUGACGUUAUCCUGCACAAAAUUGCAAUCCUGCGGUACUGAGAACAGGCUGAGGCCCAAGUCCAACACAGGCACCAAGGCUGAGCCCGUGCUGUGGGAGGGAUGUGGUGGAGCAGUAAGAACAUAGC